rnacentral:rRNA from 1 species
GACGAACGCUGGCGGCGUGCUUAACACAUGCAAGUCGAACGGAAAGGCCCUGCUUUUGUGGGGUGCUCGAGUGGCGAACGGGUGAGUAACACGUGAGUAACCUGCCCUUGACUUUGGGAUAACUUCAGGAAACUGGGGCUAAUACCGGAUAGGAGCUCCUGCUGCAUGGUGGGGGUUGGAAAGUUUCGGCGGGUGGGGAUGGACUCGCGGCUUAUCAGCUUGUUGGUUGGGGAGUGGCUUACCAAGGCUUUGACGGGUAGCCGGCCUGAGAGGGUGACCGGCCACAUUGGGACUGAGAUACGGCCCAGACUCCUACGGGAGGCAGCAGUGGGGAAUAUUGCACAAUGGGCGGAAGCCUGAUGAAGCAACGCCGCGUGCGGGAUGACGGCCUUCGGGUUGUAAACCGCUUUCGCCUGUGACGAAGCGUGAGUGACGGUAAUGGGUAAAGAAGCACCGGCUAACUACGUG